GCCACAACUAGAGAAAGCCCGCAUGCAGCAACGAACACCCAACGUACCCAAUAAAUAAAUAAACAAACAAACUAGGUCCUGGUAGAGAAGUUAUACCAAACACCAAGAAUAUUCUAAGAGGAGGAACUGUCAACUAGUACAUUGAGGCUAUGGUCCUUGUUGAACAGGUUUUGUCAUCUGACACUGAUAACAUUUAGAAACUUCAGUUGCCUUUGGGAUGUAAUGUGUCCCAAAAAUGUAGUGCUCUUGGUCUGUGGUUACAGCAUAUGUCAGUUCUAAUGAGUUUAUUCCAGGGCAGUAAUAAUUCCUCUUCUGUUAAGCAUUUUCUCCUAAAUCAGUUUAAAGACAUUUUAGGAGCUUUUCCAAAACCCAAGCAGAAAAUUUGGCUUCCUCCCUGAUUAAAACCAUCCCAGCAGUUAGCAGACAAUAACCAGAAAGUUUUAAAUGUAGCCCCUGUGGACCCUUCAGAAAACAUCUUGAAACAGUAUGGUAAAUAGAUUCAGAAAAGGCGCGUGGUUUGGCGAAAGAACUAUUAAAACUUGCUUUCUGUUCUCAGGGCUACUGUCACGUGAUCCAGGAGAAUUUAGAUAAUGUCUCCUGCUGUAAAAUGGAGGAAAAGAAUAUCUCAUCAGAUAAUGGGAUUCCAGAUGUCACUGAAAGGAAGAACUGUAGCUACCAUGUUAGUAUUGAGUCACAUUUCCAAUGAAAGUCUAUGGAGGCCUGAAGGAACAGUCCAUGGGCCCACAGGGAGAGGGCAUCAUUGUUGUGGUUUGAAGCUCUAUUUAGGUCAUUCUGUGAAAGUAAUAGCCACAAAAGUGGACAUGGGCUUUUUUAUUAUAUCCCCAAACCCUAGGUCAUUGGUAAAACUGAGUGCAUACUGAAUUUUUCAGAAUAAUGAUAAUAAUAAUAAAAGAAACUGGUUGCUGAAGGUGGGCCCUAUAUUUAACACUAAACACUUUUGAAUGCAAGUGUUUCAGACAGGGUGUGUUUGCAUGUGUUUUAUGUUUACUGGUGAUUUUUUACUUUCUGAUUGCCAAGGGAGUAUUAUGUUUAUUAUAGUCUAUUGUGAAAAUAUAGUACUCACUAAGAAGAGUUAAAUGACCCAUCAACCUAAUAUACAGAGAUAACAAAAAGAAGGCUAGGACUAGAAGAAAAGUUGACUUUCCCUGAAUAAAUUCCUGGAAGUGGAGCACAUGGGUUUUUUGCGGGUUUUUAUUAUUAUUAUUAUUGAGGUAUAGUUGAUGUACAGAGCACACAGUUUUUAAGACUUUGAUAAACAUUACAAAUUGCUCUCCAAAAAGGUUAAUAUCAGUUUGUAUUACCUCUAAGAAAGUAUGCGACUAAAUCAUUCCCUUUCUUGCCUAUUGGAUAUUAUCUGCUUUUUGUAUUUUCUGGUACUGACCUGUUUUUGUAAAUUUUUGCAAAGGGCACUUACUUAUACUAGGACAUCUUCCUGGGGAUGGGGCAAGCAUGGAGAAAGGACCAGGAAAGGAGAAAACUGGCAUAAGGGUCCCAGCAGACCCCACUAGGUUUCCUACCUCUAUAACCCUAGGUUAAAACCACUUUAUUUUGAGUUCAGGAAAUGUGGAGCAAAAUAAAAAUAAUCCUCAGCCUGAAUUGGGCCUUGUAGAAAUUGUCCCUGCUUAAACCAUAAGCACUGUAACUUCAGUCUGUUUAGAAACAGUACAGACAAGCCAAACAUUGCUUUCAAAAUAAAGUCAGAAAGAAUCUCCAGACUUCAGCAGUUUCAUGUUGAUAGGGAGCAAAGGAUUUGGCCUUAUUCUCAGGACUGCCUUUUCUUGGAAGCUCUGGUUCCUAUCAGCUUCAUCAGUGGAGGCUUAAAUUCGACUAUUAUAGCCUCCUCUUUCCUUUAUAUAACCUCUCUUCCCCCAGUCUUGCUUUAACGAUGAUUCAAAAGGAAUUGCAGCAUUUUAAAGUUUAGUUUAACUUAGUCUUUCCCAAGUGCAAGCAGGUGGUGAAAAGCAAACGAUCACAUUGAGUAUCUGAAAUCUUAAAUAGCUGACAUUGUGUCAAGCUAGUAAUUAUUGAAGUUCUUUUUUUAGACCUGAGUGAAAAUUUGGAAAACAGAAUAUAAUAGAAAUUAAAGGAAAAUAAAUGUUAAACAGCUGUUAGAAAAUAUUGUUUUCUGAAGUACACAAUAAAUAUCUAGACCAGUGAAGGGACAAGGAUAUAGAAGGAGGCCUUCUGGAGUCAGAUCAGAAAUGGUUUGAUACUUUUCUAAAAGAACAGGAUGCUGGAAAAGUUGGGCCUUUGUGAGACAGUCACCACCUUAUAAUUCUUAACUGUCCAACUUCCCAGCCAAGGUUUUCAAAUAUUUUAGAUGGUGAUUUAGCCAGCAGAAGGGAAAAUGUAAAUAGAACAUAAUUAGUUUGCAUUUAACUCUAGUUGCAAAGUGUACAGUUUUUUACCUCAAAAUUUGAGAAAUAGCAAUUUUUAUCUAAGUGCAGUCAGUUCUCCCUUAUCUGGGGACGGCCAUAAACGUCUCUUACCACGUCACAACUACAUGCCGUGCUCACUAGCUUAUGUUGCAAAGGAACCUGCCUCGGCCUGUUUCCUGUCAGAUAAAUGGUGCCAACCAACAUAAUUCACAAGUUUAGUACAUAUAUUAUCAGAAUAAAAUACUAAGCCUGUACAUGAGAAGAUAGUAAAAUACGGGUAUUUACAUCUUUUACUCACCAAGCACUGUAAGUAGGCCUUUUCUUUCUCUCUUACCUGCUCUUGGCUAGUUUUCUGUUUCUUGCUAGUGUUAGGGUUUCAAGUUCUGUUGAUUUACAGGAUGGAGGUGGGGGAGAAAUGGGAAGGGGGGAAAUAUAGGUUUGAUUGCACAGUGGAAUAAGAGAUUAAACUACUAGUUUAAAGGAAUUUAGGCUGAAUAAUGAAAAUAGUUAAAAUCCUUAAUGCUGCUAUUAUACUGUUUUUACAUUAAAGAAAUAAAAAUAAAUUGGGGAAUUUUAUAUGAUUCAUAUUCUGGCUAUUUUUAGAACCAUGGCUAAAAUUUGGCACUGAUCUCAGAAUGACCGAUUUGGAGGCUUUUGUAGAAGCUAUUUUAUCAUCUUGUCAAAAUGGGGAAACAUCUGGAGAGACAGGGCAGAGGACUUGUACAAGGCCAUCGUCAGGAAGAGACCUUAAGGGAGCUGUUGAAUAAAAAGCCAAGGGAAUUUGAUUCUGAAGUUCCCUGAAGAGCUGGAGAAAUCUCCUCACGGGGGACCUGACCCUGGGAGAAUCAACUUGCAGGCCCUGUGGGAAAGCAGCUGGAGAAUCACUGCUGGAGAGUGAUACAAGUUAUUGACAUUGUGCAGAGAGACUGACACCAUCGAUUCUUCCCAGAGCGAAGUUGGCCUUUCUGAUGAUAAGCAUAGGACUCAAAGCUAUGUAUCAUGGAGGUGUUUUCUUCCUGGGUGGAUUCGAGGAGUAGAAUUCCUUUGGCUGAAAAAUGGGGGUAUGAACCAUAGUAAAAGCUGCUAGCAGAAACGUCUGUGGGCUCUCCUUACAUUUCUGGCCUAGAAUCUCUGAGGCAGAAAACAACUGUUCUCCUUGCAGGAACAGCUGGCCUGUUCUGCAGGACACAGCUUUCCAGACCAAACUCUCAAGUCCUUGGGAGACCUGCUUAUCUGGAGAUUAAGCUAGACAACAACUUGAGAGUUAUCCAUGAACACAGGAUUUGACCCUUGGGGCAGAGGAAGGUUUUAAUUAACUUCAUCUGAGAAGUUUCCAAGGCCUUUCCAGCUGUUUUGGAAUGUUGUGUUCCAGGCUUUAGAGGUUAAAACUUCCCUUUCUGGCAUCCAAAAGUGACUUUUGGAAGCAAAAUAAGAAUAGCUUUUAGACCCCAAUAUCAUAGUACAUCAGCCAAGCCUGGAUCUUGCCACUAAAUGGUGAGAAACUGUCUCUGGGGUUUCCUUAGGGACAGAAUGGCAUGUUUGACCUUAGACAUGAGGACUUGGCAGUCUUGGAGCAGACUCUGCUAAGGUCUGGGUCUUCUCCCAAUAUCUGUGACUCUGAGGGGCAGCUGGCAAAAUUAAUGGCCAGCCAGGCAGUGUUGAAUUCCAAGAGAAGAGAAAUGUUGGCCCAUCAGUACCCUGAGGCCUGGUUUUCCUGACAUCUUGAAAGAGAGGGUACCUGUUGGGACUGGUGGAUCCAAAAAAGUCAAGGAAAAUGGUAUGGGAUUUGUUUUUUUUCUACCUAAAAGGAUGUGCUGCAUCUUUUCAUGAGUGGACAUCUGAUUCUUUCAUUCAGGGGGUGUUGAUUGAACCCCUUUUGCCCAUCAGGUACUGGCAGUGCUGGUGGUUGAAGGACAGAGCAGUAAACAGUCACACGUUUUGAGGGCAAGGACCAUGUUUCAUCCUCCCCGGUCUUGCUUAUAACAGACAUUCACAUAGUAUUUCACUGAAAUGGUUCCCCCAAAGUCACAGCUUCUCCCACUCACCAGUGUCCAUUUUCUUUCCCUUUCCCCCCUUUAACUGAUCUCCUAUCUCACCAAGUCAAGAAAAUACAUUCAUAGUCUUCCCUAUGCAAGUUGCUGACUUGCACAACAGUUCACCUUACAAACCAAACCAGAAGAGAAAAAGAGGGAAAGGAAAGUAAAAUUGGUUUCCCUUGAGCCUUGCCUGGUUUUCAUCUGGCACAACCUGAUUCUAAGAGGUUGCUGGUCACACUGGCAAAAAGCCUGUUUCACCCUAACUCUUUCUCCCCACUGCCUACUCUCUCAUUUUAAAAAAAGUUGUUUUUUUUUAAUGAAUGUUUUCUGAUUAUGAAAGUAAUAAAUACCAUUUGGAAAAGAGAAUAAACUCUUCUACACACCCAAUACAUUUAAAGAAUGAUUUUCCAGGGUGAAUUUCUGAAGCCAUGCUUGGCUCUUCCCUCCCAGAGUUUUCUGGAAGAGGCAGAUGAGUAAAUCCCUCCAUCUCUGGCCUUUGAAUCCAUCAUGGUACCUGUUGCCCAUUGAGAGUGCUUUAGCCCCAGUGCCUGUGAUUUUAUGCAGAUGAUCGUAGCUGCCCAGAUGUUCAUUUUACCCAGAUUUUUACUAGUAAAAGUGUGGGAAGACAGGCAGGAAAUGGAAAGAGGGGCCCAGAGGUGAGAUUUUAUGUUUAUAGUGGAAUUAGCACUGGACUGGGGCUGAGCCCUCAGUUUGAAUCCAGGCUUUGCGGGUAACUAGCUAUUUCCUUAAGAGAGUCUCUCAGCCUCUCUGAGUGUUUAUCAUUUGUAAAAUAAUAGUUGAUUUGGUUAUCGCUAAGGUUCUAUAAAUUGCCCUGACCCAUAGUUUAAGAAUAAACGUUUAUUUGGUUAAUCUACUUUCUCUUUCCACCAUGGUUCUCACUCCUUUCAUUUCAAAGACCUACCAAUUUUACUGUUUCCUGCUACCCAGCCCCACCGCUCUUCCAUGUAGUAAGGAGCGAAAUGUUCUCCUUUCCAGCUCUUCAUGUCAGUGAGCAAACUCAUCUCACUUCUUAGUCAUUUCCAUUCUCUUUCUCUAUGCUCUUUCUGUUGUGUUCCCAGCCUUUUAUCCCAAAUGAGACCUCACAAAAGCAGGUUUGCCCCUCUGAUCAAGGGCUUUAAUUGACACAUUCAAUUAAUUAACAAGUCUUUAAUGUGCACCUACAAUAAACAAAGCAGAGUUCAGCACUCUUAAAAACAUAAAAUACGUUUAGGAUGUGUUCUUAGCCUCCUAGGAGACAAGACCUCUAAGGCUGCAAACCCCCUUGCUACCUUCUGGUCCUCCACUGACUUCCAUGCAGCCAACACUGAUAACCAUCUGUCACGCUGAAACCUUCUCUUCCCUGGGCUGCUGCAUCUCCACACCCUGUUUUCCACCUUCUGUUACUGAACGCAGGUGCGGCUGCUGGCUGCUCAAAAGCCAAUACUCAAGAGAAGAGUGUUGGUUGGAAAAGGAAAGAUGGUUUAUUCAGGAGGCUGGCAACCUACGGAGAAGGCGGACUCAUGACCCAGAACCAACUCUCAAGAUUCUGCUUGGCCAUGAAAGUUUUUAAAGGGAAAAAAGGGAAGCUAGUCUCACUUAAUCAUUUGGGGAGGGGGUCACUGUCUUCGUCAUCUUUCACCGGGUGCAGACUUCCUGACUCCUUGUGAUCUUUCUUUAGAUGCUAUCUUGUUCACACACUUGGCUCGCAGGAUUACCGAAGGGGAAGCUGGGGAAAAGAUCUAGUCAUCCAUUAAUUACUUAUUGUUCAUUUCUACUUCUUUAAUUUAAGAAAAGAAUCUACAUGUUAAGCCAGGCAUUGUGUGAUCAGGGACUUGCAAAAGCUAUCCAAUUAGUGAAGCAUGGGGCACAAGCUACAGGGGUUAGGUUAACUAUUGCCUAGUAAUCUCACAUCUGUAAUUAAGUUUUUAAAGUUUGAGGGAAACAGAAAUGGAUUAAAAAAAGGGCAAAAGAGCUGAUUCCAUUUCCUCUCUCACUUCUUCCUGGCUUUCUGAUCCUCCCUCAGGCCCAUUCACUAAAUUUGGUCCUCGGCCCUCUUCUCUUCUCAGUCUCUUUUCAUUCCCUGGACCAUGUCAACCAUUCCCAUGACUUCAGAUACCAUCUAUAUGCUGAUAAUUCCCUGAAAUAUAUAUCUUCAUUCAGAUAUAUUAAUAUGCCUGGAGCAGCACCUGUGAUCAAACACAUUAACAUAUUUAUAGUGAAAUAUGGGAUAAAUGAAAACUAUAACUACCCCCCCAUAAAUUCCAAUCAGGGUUUACUGCCAAAAUAACCAAGUUAGUUAUAGUGCCACUAUGAAAAAAAGUUUUCAUUUUCCAGAGACUUAUGGACUUCAGAAUUGCAGAGAUUAUGGACCUGUAUGAAGAGGCGUGGCCUUUGUUAGUCCAGAGGGGGAAAAAGGAUAACAAAAACUUCUCUGCAUUUCCCUUUCCACAGAACAAUGAGUAUCCACAAGACUUGAGGUCUCUCCUGCUGGAAUGAGAGUGACCAGAAACUUGUAAACAGUUUUUCUUGUUAAAAGUAAUAAUAAGAUAAUAAAGUCCUAUCGUAUCUGGCUUCUGACUACAACAAUGGCAUUAUUAGAUUCAAGUCCCUUACUCUACCUAGAAUUUCUCACUUAGCUGAAAUGCUUGGGGUUUCUGUAACACAUAGUCUCUGUACUUCCUGAAUAUACACACAAACACUCCUGUGUAUAGCUUUAAUUCUUGGGCAUUCAACUAGAUACGUAACAAUUAACAAAGUAAACUAUCCAGCUCUUUCAAUGACAACUGUUUUCAUACCCUAGCUUAACACUUCUCUGUGAGUUGGCUCUACAGCCUGAUUAGUAACAGACCUAGAGAAUGUUCAAGAGGCUAGGGGUGGGGGGACAGGGCAGCAUGGAGAGGCUGGAUAAAAUGUUAUUUUAGUAUUUUCAGUGAGACAGAGAAAAAAUUCAUGCAAAUAUCUCUACUCCCACCCCACCCCCCCCUUUUUGUUUUAUAAAGCCUUUCUUUGUCCAAAUCUCAAUUUUUGGAUUAGACCCUUGUUGACUGUGUCUGCUUAAGUCCUAGAUAAAGGCUUAUUUGUUUGACCUGUCGUAUCCGUAAUUGGUCUAACUGCUCGUUUUGAUUUUCCCAUUGUGUAGACUGUGCUAGGAAGCUUGGCAGGAAGCACACUAUAGAAAUGUGGAACUGAACAGCUUAAUGUGUGUAAUUUGGGAAGUUCAGCAGAUGCCAGAGCUUAGCAGGCUCCUGGCUUGUUCAAGACUGUUCCUGUGGAUUUUCAUUCUUGUGGGCAUCACGUUUCUUAAGUCUGAGGGUUUGGGUCCCACCCAAACUCAGUCCACAUAGCCAUCUCCCAGCUGUCCCACUUUUAAAAGCCAGGAUGGUAGCUGACACUUGGAGGCUCUCCUGUCAUCUCUUCCUAAGGAAGUGGAAGGGUAAUGAGGUAAUUGGGUUCCAGAGAUGGUUCCGGUAAAGGCUGACAUAUAAUGCUUUCUCUAGACAUGAGCGUGGACUCCUAGUUGGUUUCUAGGAGAUCUGAGGGAUUGCCCAUGCAACAUCCAUCACUCCUACAGUGGAUGACAUGUUGAGCCACCCAGAUCCCCCCUCCAAGACUGAAGCACUCAUUUCCCCAUCUCCUGGGAAGGUUGACAGCCGCAGUCAUCAGCUGAGUCCCUCUCUGAGAUUUUUCCUCAGCCGAAAAGAGCCGCCUUGCCCCAGGUAAUGCUCCCUUCCCAGGGGCAGCCCACAUCUAAUGUCUGAUUGAUACAGGAGUAAAAAGACCUAGCUCUCUCACCUCAAUUUGGGACAACUCUGAGCCAGCCCAGCACCAGAGCUCCCUGAAAGAUCAGCUAAGGUUUUUACUGUGAUUUCAUUGCAGCUCAACUUCUCCCUUUGUCCACUCCGGCUUACUUCACUUCUUUCAGGUGUUGAUGCUGAGAGUACUCCCCAAUAAACUUCCUACACGCAGGGCCAGGGAAACCCUACCUGUAACACCCCCUUUGUCCUGGCUGGUAGCACUGUGUUUUGGGGUCCAUACCUUCUUCAUGUGAAGAUUCAGGAGUAAACCUUAAUUAGUCUAAACUAGUCAAGGUGGUUCCAUUGACUUAGCCAGUGAUUGGCUUAGGAAGGGUCAUGUGACUCCAUCCCAGCAAAUGUGUUGCAAAGGGGAAUCUCAUAGGAAAAUUUUCCUGAAUCAUAAAAAGAGACAAGGGGAAGAAGAGACCCUUUUCUAUCUGAAUGAGAUGCUUUUAGAAAGGAACAGAGCUGGGAAGAAGGUAGAGCCAAGAGAACAGCAGAGAAAUCAAACUGAAGCAGAAGCCACCCUGCUUAUGAUCUUUUUGUCAUCUGCGAUAAAUCCCCUUUGACAUCACACUAGGGAUUUGUCACACAAGGACUUGAUGAUGGAGUUGGCUCUACAAUCUGUGAGUUUUGUUCCGGUUCCAACUGCCCAUUCCAUUUUCCCACCUUUUGGGGGCCUCUGCUUUUUGAAAUGUUUGUUUGUCAGGAUUCUUUCUCUUGGAAGUUUCUUGAUGACCCAAACUCUCUUUUUUCUGACUUCUGAUGAUCAUUAAUUUGACUUUUGUUGAUCAAUUAAACUCUGUUUCCUUCUUCUAUGGCAUUAUGGGCAUGGAGUUUAUAGAGUUAACGUUAUGCAAUAAUGUGCAUGUGCAGCUGGGGGUGGAGGGAGGGUGACUUCUAAAGGAGGCUGAUUCUAGAAAACCACAUUCUCGGAUGGCUUUAGAUGAGACAAGAAGGAAAUGGUGACGGAAAGGUUUUCAAAUUGUAGAGGAAUAAGGGCUUGAACCUAAUGUUUGGCCCAGAAUAGGGUAUUCAUUUUUAGAAAAGUGCAUCCUCUCCGUAGUUUAUUUUGACAAGUCAGUUCAUAGCUUCCCCAGAGUUUGGUGCUGGAGAAAUUGCCCAGCACCGUAGUGGGACUGAUGGUGGGGAGCCCUCUUCUUUCUCUCACUUGCCUGUACUCCCCUCUGCCUAAACACUGCUGCUGCCCUUUUUGUUUUGUUUUGCUAGUUGAGGUCUAAUUUAUAACCAAUAAAAUUCACAAAUGCAAAGUGUUCAGUGUGAUGAGUUUUGACAGUGGUAUGCUCCCAUGAAAUCAUCAUUCCAGUCAACAGAUGGAACAUUUCUCUCAUCUCAGAAAGUUCCUUCAAGCCUCUUUCCAGUUAAUUCUCUCCUCAUCUCCAAGGCAACUAGUGUUCUGAUUUCUACCACCAUAGAUUAGUUUUCAUGUCUUCUUGAACGUCAUAUAUAUUCUUUGGUGUAUGAAUUCUUUCAUUCAACAUGAAAGAUGUGGUUUUGAGAUUCACCCACAUUGUUACAUGUAGCCUGCUUCCCUUUUAAGACUAUCCAUGGGGUCCAUUGCUCUCAGAUUUCUCUGUCAUGUUUAAGGAGGAGGCCCUGCCCCUCCUGGUGGUGGUUUUACUGUGAGACAAUUUGCCACAUGAGCUUCAUAAGUCACUGAUUCCUAAAGACAAAUCAGGUGGCUCCUUUCAGGGACAGCCAAUUGAUCUCUCCAUUCUACAUGGUGAUAAUGAUUGAUGAUGUCUGAACUUUUUGGAGUGAAGACAGACAGUAAUUUCUCCUAUGGGCUCCCAGGACAAAGAUUGAUAAUCCCCAGGAUUCUAUGCCAAGAUACUACCUGAACUUCGUCCUGGUGAGGACUUGGUCUCACUGCCAAGGCCAAGGGAGAAACAAACAGUUAUUAAGUACAAAGUGUCUGCAGGCACUUGGUCAUAAGUGACUUAAUUUCCCUUCCUGGAAACGCUUUGAGAGAGGUGUUACUAUACCCAUGAGGACACACAGGGCUUGAUCUGAAAGUAGGAUUUGAACCUGGGUUUGUUGGCUUCCAUACCAUGAUUUUUUACCAGCAGCAGCCCAAAUUUAAGCUCCUAUGUCCAUUUAAGGUGGCACAUGCAUAUCUCCAGGUGACAGGUACACCCAUGACUGAAUUGCUGCAGGGCUGGAGAGGACUCAGGGCUAGAUGUAUUUCCUUUCUCAAUAACUCCCACUAGAGUUAGCAGGUGAGUUUUCAUUUUCAGAAAUGUUCUCUAUUCUUCUUAGCCAGGCAACUUUGACUUUUGGUAAAGGCCAGCAGAUCUUUGUUAUGACCCUUGGAAAUUACUGUUGUGUAACAAUUGUGUUUACAACUGAGAGAGCUUCCAGACCCGGGGAAGCUUUACAAAGGAUGAUGCCAGCAAAGAGGCAUUAAGUUCUCUAAUAGGCUUAUGCCCUGAUAAUCGUAUUAAUGGCACUGUCUCAUGCUUGAUGCUGCAAUUAUGGGCCUCUCCUCUUGAAUGUAAUUUUGGAGUUUGAUAAUAAUUGAGAAUAUGAUUUUGCAUUUCUCUUUAACAAGAGUUCCAUUCCCUAAACAACAUGAUGCCCCUAAUAGAGAUGACUCUUGUGCCCCUUCAAAUUGCUGACCUUAUACAUCACUACAAUGGCAUGAACAAGCUAGACUUUACUCACCUGGGAAUUCUGAGUUUUUCCUGCAUCAGGACUCUGUGGGCUAUGGAACAAAUCCCCUGGGAAUCAUGACAUUGGUUUCUAGCAUCUGCAUCUGAUAAUGAGGUUUUAUGUUUUUCUGCUGUUGCAAAGUCAAAGUAACCUUGGGAGAAAGGGUCUGCUUUAGGAGUCAGGUGAUUUUUAACAUGUGACUUAAUUGUCAACAUUUAAGAUAUUAUCUCUAGUUUCAGGUGUUUGGCCUCCAGAAAACUACUUUUGGGGCCUUCUUUUUCUCAGUUGUAAGUUCCAAGGGAUUUGGACUAGAAUUCUAAGAAUUUCACCCUUUCCAUCAGAAAUUAAUAUUUUAGCUAUUGAAAGAAGGUGGCUAUUGUUUUCAUGGCCCCAACUGGAACUGAUUAACAGACUAGCCAAUCACUGCUAUCCUUUUGAAGAAACCUUCGUCCACAGCAUAUAUAAGAUUUGGGGAUUUUUGCUUCUGAUGCUACCCAUGUGCACUUGGCUCUGUGGCAUGCUGGGAUCUUUUCCAGGCCUGUGGUAAAGGGAGGAGGGAAGUCCAGGGCAGAGGCACCAACCAGGCCAUGGGGGCUAGCCACUGAGGAGGAAGGCCCUCAUUCUGAACAGUGUCCAGAGGGCUGCAGGAGUUGGCUUCAAUAUAACAAAGGAGGUGGAAGUCAGCUCUGGCAUUGCAGGUCUUGGGCUCUCGGGGGGCAGCUCUGUGGGGCCUGUAUCUGAAUGGCAGGUUGCUGGGUGCUUCUGGACAAUGAGGCAAAGGCAGUAAAAAGCAAAGGAGGCAGGUGUGGGAACUGGCUCAGGGCUUUUGUUCUAUGGACAUGCAGGUGCCCUAGGCUGACCAGGUGCCAUGAGGCAGAUGGCAGAAGGAGGGGCAUCCAGGACUCCUUGCUCAAAAGCCCACAGUCUGGCUGGGCAAAAAUACCAGGUGUGUGCUGGCACCAAACAGGGCACAGGAAACUUGCUGAAGAUCAACCUCUGUUUCACCAGGAAAUGGGUGGUGACAUGAGAGACCCAAACAUGAAAGGCCAGGGCAAAGCACAUAGGAUCCAUUUGUGUAGCCCAGGCUGCCCAACCAGCUAGGUGGAGCACAGGUCUGUGACUGAGAGGGGAGCAAGGCUAUAGGAGUGACAACAGAAGCAGGGAAACCAAGACAAAACGCUUGACCUGGAAACUUUUCGUAGACCCAUGUCAGACUGACAUCUUUGCAGCCACAAAGGAAUGGGCAUAUUUGCAAAUAUUCUCCUCAGGAUAAGUGAUCAGUCUGGGCCCCUUCCACCCCACCUUCUCCAGGAAGCCUCCCAGCCUUUUCCAACUCUGGCUAAUUGUUCCCUUGUCUGAGCUCAGAGCUCUUAUUGUCUGCACCUUACAAUUUAGCACUUAAUCAGACACAGCUGUGCAUUCCUCUCUAAUUGUUUUGUGUGUGUUUGUCCUGUCUCCGGGGCAAGAUUACAGCUUCCUCUGGAGCAGGGACUCACAGUCUUUUGGGAAGGGCUCCUGGGAGAGAUGUGGGUGUAUAUGAGGGGCUUCUGAACAGGUAAAUCACUCGCAUUCCUACAGUGCUUUGCAGAUUAGAAAGUGUUUUUACUUAAGUUAUCUCCUCUAUUCCUUACAAUUGCCCUGAGAGGGGUGUGUAUUUUCGCGUCCUCAUUUUACAGACAAUGAAGCCGAGACAGAAGGGGUCAACAACCCACCUGAGGAAGACAGAAGGUAUGUAGCAGAGGUGAGACAAGCCUGAGAUUCCUGAUUGACUGCCAAUCAGCCAGUGCCCCGUAGGGGUUCAUUUGGUGGACAAAAAAGCCCCCGGUGGAAAAGAGGGAGAGGAGGAAGGGAGGCCUCCACAUGCCUUUCUCCCUGAUGGGAAUCUUGGGGAGGAGAAGUUAGUCAGGGGGAUGUGGCCCUGGCUUGCAGAGCUCCUGGGUCAGGCUUCAUAGAGACAACUGGGGCAAAACCGACUGGGCCACUUGUUUCUGCUUUCAGUGUCAUUCCCUCACGCAUCCUCUAUCCUGCCAUCAGCCCACAGUGCCCUCCCCUUACUGGGAGUUCCUAUCUUCUGAACUCCUGGUCACUCCCUCUUCCUCACUCUCUUAAGACUUUAGCUCCUGGCGCCGUGGCCUUCACACCAUGACCCUGACCCCAAUUCUUGCCCACAUGCUCCUGGAUGGCUUCACUAACCACACAGAUGACCCACCCAGUACCCUGCCUCUCAGUCUCUUGACCUUAUAUUCUCCAGUGACUUUCUCCUCUACUCUCCCCCAUCACAACCUGGCUUUGUCAUUGUCCUAAAUUUCUCCACCUCCUGAACCACAAACUUAAGCAUCCAAAAUCUCUGACUCAACCCCCUCUCCUUCCAGCAUGACUGAGCUUUGACCCCUUUGACCCUUCCAGCCCACCGACUUCUGUCCUUUCUCUCUGAUCAUGCAUCAUAUCAACCCCACUUUUGCCGAGGUUCUCAAUUCCUUGGCAAAAGGAAUUUGCUCCUCUGCCCAGCAAUUCCUUCAUCUGAGCCUGGACCAGAGCAGAGACAGCUGAGCUCUGCUGGAGGAAAUCACAGAGGAGGACCAAAGGGCACCUUACAAGUGCAAGCCACCAACCUUAGGAGGGUUGCCAUGCUGCCUUGCCAUCCUGCCGUACCUCUGGUCAUCUCAACCUUCUCACCUUCUGCAAUGACUGUGUCAAACAUUCUCCAUUCUCUUCAAAUCCCUCAUCUCUCUUGCCCUACUCCCAGUCUCCUCCCCAGAGUAAGAGGAAGGCAUCAGGUGGAGGGAUUCAACGUCCCAUACCAAACCUGCCUGGUUCAGUUGACCUCCAACUGCGCCCUGGCUGUUAUAAUAGAGGAGGUGGCCUCCUGCAUGAGGUCAGCCUUUCCACCCAGAUUCUGGUUCCAUCCUCUCCCAUGGUCACAGGAACCACGUUUAUUGUCCAUUAUCCUUCCCCUGCUGUACCUUUCUCUUCCUCUUCUCUAUAAGGUCUUCCCCAUCGGCAUUUAAACACAUUCAAUUUAUUCCACCCUAAAAUUAAUAAAUAUAAACUAAGAUAAACCCACUGGUGACAAAACAUUCUUUUCCAGCUAUUUCUAUCUCUGACCCUUCACAGUCAACCCUUUCAAGAUUUGCCUGUAGUCAGUACCUUUCUCCAUUUCUCCACUUCUCACGCACUUUUCAAUCCACUCCAGUUUAUCUUUCAUCCCUUCACUCCACCGUUGGGUCUCUCCGCCAUUUUGAGUGUUGUUGGCUACUGCCUCUUUACAACAUAUCCUUUCCCUGGCUCCAUGACCCCACUCCUAGGUUUUGUUUUUUUCCUGCCUUUCUGGCUGCUCCUUCACCUCUGCCAGAUAGUUUGCCUCUGGCCAGCCUUUAGAUAAGGGCUCAUCAGGCUCAGUCCUAGGCCCUCUUCUGAUAGAACUCUAUACUCUCCUAGGACACCAUCUCACUCUCGGGACUUUAUUGCUGCCUUUACACCAGCUACUUCAUCCCCAGCCUCUCCACAGAGAACCAGACCCUACAGCCAAACAUCUACUCAGCAUCUCCACUUGGACAUCUUACAGGCAUCUCAAACCCACCUUGACCAAAUGUGAACCUUGGCAAGGUUUUCUCAAUCCUCUUUCCCUGAGGGUCCCCCAACUCAGAAAACGGCACCACCAUCCAUCUGGUUGAAGAAGCAGAGACCUGGGACUUCUCCUUGAUUCCUCCCUAGCCAAACAAUCACCAGGUCUUGUUGGUAUCUACUUCUCUCCAUUUGCUCAACUGCUUAGACAAACAGCCCUUUCCCUUAUAUUACAGCAGCAGCUUCCUAACUGUCCCUCCACCCCCUCCUCCCCCUUCCCUAUUCAUUCUUCACAUUGCAAUCAGGGUGAUCUUACUGAAAAUGGUACAGUACACCCUGGAUGAUCUAGUCUCUGCCUACCUCUCCAACAUCCUCCUCAACCACACCCCCCUUCGUAGUGUGAACCUGCCAGGAACUCUUUUCCACUCGCCUCUCCUCUUUGCCUGAGUAAAUCCUGCUCACCCUUCAGAGCUCAAUGUCACCUCCCCUUGGACUCCCCAGACAAAUGGUCCCUCUACCUUGCACUCCCUUUGGCCAAUAUCACAACUGUAAUUAUACAAUUGAUAGUGCAUUUAAUUGCUAAGUUCCUUUCUCUCCAGCUAAACUGUGAGCUCCAAGAGGGAAGAGUGUGUCUGCUACACACUCUUCACCACUUCAGUGCCUAGCCCUGUGCCAUGCACCUAGUAGGUGGUCAACACAUAUUUGUUAAAUAAAUGAACAAUACAUCUUUACCUACUCAUGAUGGACCAAGAGCAGAGACUGCAGCCAAAUGUGCAUUUAGCAUGGAGUAAUUUAGCAGAAUAGUGGAAUUCAGCAUUGAGUAAUUCCCCCAAAGACACAGUGUAACAUUUACAGAUACACUCCCAGCUGCAUUAAUUAAUGGCACUAUGAAGAGAAUGCCCUUAUUUUUUAAUUUCAGGGCCUGGGCAGCUUUUGGCAGUUGCAGAGGAUACAGCUUAAUUUCCUUGUUGGUUGCCAGCUGACAUUGUAGCAGUUCCUUUACUAAAACCCCUUGGCUGGCAGUCCCUGAAAGUAUGUCUGUGGCUAGUGCGAGUGCAUUUAAAGGGAAGGCAUAUGUGUAGAAACAAUAUACUGAUCUGAUGGCAGAAAAAAAUCUUCAGAUGUCAGUCUUGUCCCCUCACAGCGUUUAAAGAUCAGAAGAGCUGCCAGAGAUAUUUUUAUUUAAACCAAGGAACACGGACUCAGGAUUAAUUAUUUUGACACAGAAUGAAAGACUCAGGCUUCAUUUGUUUAUUAAUUUAUACACUCUGAAGAGUUCUUAAAAGAAUUUCUAAUAUCUUUAUUUCUUUAAAUCUGUUUCAUUAGUUUUCUAAAUUAUGAGAGUUAAUAUAACUGGAAAAAACCCUCAAAGUCAAUAAGGGUAUAAAACUCAUCUCCCCUCCUUCUGAAACCCCAAUCCCACAUCUGGGGUAAUGGUGGUUAACAGCCUGUCUGUAUCUUCCAGAUGUUUUUCUAUGAGUACACAAAAAUCUGACUGUUUGGACUUUACAUCCCAGUCUUAGGAGAAUCAUGUGAUCAACAUAAAAGCAAAAAGGACUGAAGGC